rnacentral:rRNA from 1 species
GACGAACGCUGGCGGCGUGCCUAAUACAUGCAAGUAGGACGCAGUUGCGAACGGGUGAGUAACGCGUAGGUAACUACCUAUUAGAGGGGGAUAACUAUUGGAAACGAUAGCUAAUACCGCAUACUAGUAGAUGGACCUGCUUUGUAUUAGCUAGUAGGUAGGGUAAUGGCCUCCCUAGGACACGGUACAUAGCCGACCUGCGAAGGUGAUAGACCAAAAUGGGACUGAGACAAGGCCCAGACUCCUACGGUGGGCAGCAGUAGGGAAUCUUCGGCAAUGGGGGGAACCCUGACCGAGCAACGCCGCGUGAGUGAAGAAGGUUUUCGGAUCGUAAAGCUCUGUUGUUAAGGAAGCGGUACGUAACCAGAAAGUGACGGCUAACUACGUGCCAGCAGCCGCGGUAAUAC